CGGUUAAGUUAGAAAGGGCGCACGGUGGAUGCCUUGGCACUAGGAGCCGAUGAAGGACGGGACGAACACCGAUAUGCUUCGGGGAGCUGUAAGCAAGCUUUGAUCCGGAGAUUUCCGAAUGGGGAAACCCACCACUCGUAAUGGAGUGGUAUCCAUAUCUGAAUACAUAGGAUAUGAGAAGGCAGACCCGGGGAACUGAAACAUCUAAGUACCCGGAGGAAGAGAAAGCAAAUGCGAUUCCCUGAGUAGCGGCGAGCGAAACGGGACCAGCCCAAACCAAGAGGCUUGCCUCUUGGGGUUGUAGGACACUCUGUACGGAGUUACAAAGGAACGAGGUAGAUGAAGAGGUCUGGAAAGGCCCGCCAUAGAAGGUAACAGCCCUGUAGUCAAAACUUCGUUCUCUCCUGAGUGGAUCCUGAGUACGGCGGAACACGUGAAAUUCCGUCGGAAUCCGGGAGGACCAUCUCCCAAGGCUAAAUACUCCCUAGUGACCGAUAGUGAACCAGUACCGUGAGGGAAAGGUGAAAAGCACCCCGGAAGGGGAGUGAAAGAGAUCCUGAAACCGUGUGCCUACAAGUAGUCAGAGCCCGUUAACGGGUGAUGGCGUGCCUUUUGUAGAAUGAACCGGCGAGUUACGAUCCCGUGCAAGGUUAAGCAGAAGAUGCGGAGCCGCAGCGAAAGCGAGUCUGAAUAGGGCGAAUUGAGUACGUGGUCGUAGACCCGAAACCAGGUGAUCUACCAUGUCCAGGGUGAAGUUCAGGUAACACUGAAUGGAGGCCCGAACCCACGCACGUUGAAAAGUGCGGGGAUGAGGUGUGGGUAGGGGUGAAAUGCCAAUCGAACCUGGAGAUAGCUGGUUCUCUCCGAAAUAGCUUUAGGGCUAGCCUCAAGGUAAGAGUCUCGGAGGUAGAGCACUGAUUGGACUAGGGGCCCUACCGGGUUACCGAAUUCAGUCAAACUCCGAAUGCCGAUGACUUAUCCUUGGGAGUCAGACUGCGAGUGAUAAGAUCCGUAGUCGAAAGGGAAACAGCCCAGACCGCCAGCUAAGGUCCCAAAGUAUACGUUAAGUGGAAAAGGAUGUGGAGUUGCUUAGACAACCAGGAUGUUGGCUUAGAAGCAGCCACCAUUUAAAGAGUGCGUAAUAGCUCACUGGUCGAGUGACUCUGCGCCGAAAAUGUACCGGGGCUAAACGUAUCACCGAAGCUGCGGACUGUUCUUCGAACAGUGGUAGGAGAGCGUUCUAAGGGCUGUGAAGCAAGACCGGAAGGACUUGUGGAGCGCUUAGAAGUGAGAAUGCCGGUAUGAGUAGCGAAAGAGGGGUGAGAAUCCCCUCCACCGAAUGCCUAAGGUUUCCUGAGGAAGGCUCGUCCGCUCAGGGUUAGUCGGGACCUAAGCCGAGGCCGAAAGGCGUAGGCGAUGGAUAACAGGUUGAUAUUCCUGUACCACCUCCUCACCAUUUGAGCAAUGGGGGGACGCAGGAGGAUAGGGUAAGCGCGGUAUUGGAUAUCCGCGUCCAAGCAGUUAGGCUGGGAAAUAGGCAAAUCCGUUUCCCGUGAAGGCUGAGCUGUGAUGGCGAGCGAAUUAUAGUAGCGAAGUUCCUGAUUCCACACUGCCAAGAAAAGCCUCUAGCGAGGUGAGAGGUGCCCGUACCGCAAACCGACACAGGUAGGCGAGGAGAGAAUCCUAAGGUGAUCGAGAGAACUCUCGUUAAGGAACUCGGCAAAAUGACCCCGUAACUUCGGGAGAAGGGGUGCUCUGUUAGGGUGCAAGCCCGAGAGAGCCGCAGUGAAUAGGCCCAGGCGACUGUUUAGCAAAAACACAGGUCUCUGCGAAGCCGUAAGGCGAAGUAUAGGGGCUGACGCCUGCCCGGUGCUGGAAGGUUAAGAGGAGCGCUUAGCGUAAGCGAAGGUGCGAAUUGAAGCCCCAGUAAACGGCGGCCGUAACUAUAACGGUCCUAAGGUAGCGAAAUUCCUUGUCGGGUAAGUUCCGACCCGCACGAAAGGCGCAACGAUCUGGCACUGUCUCAACGAGAGACUCGGUGAAAUUAUAGUACCUGUGAAGAUGCAGGUUACCCGCGACAGGACGGAAAGACCCCGUGGAGCUUUACUGCAGCCUGAUAUUGAAUGUUGGUACAGCUUGUACAGGAUAGGUAGGAGCCUUGGAAACCGGAGCGCCAGCUUCGGUGGAGGCAUCGGUGGGAUACUACCCUGGCUGUAUUGACCUUCUAACCCGCCGCCCUUAUCGGGCGGGGAGACAGUGUCAGGUGGGCAGUUUGACUGGGGCGGUCGCCUCCUAAAAGGUAACGGAGGCGCCCAAAGGUUCCCUCAGAAUGGUUGGAAAUCAUUCGCAGAGUGUAAAGGCACAAGGGAGCUUGACUGCGAGACCUACAAGUCGAGCAGGGACGAAAGUCGGGCUUAGUGAUCCGGUGGUUCCGCAUGGAAGGGCCAUCGCUCAACGGAUAAAAGCUACCCCGGGGAUAACAGGCUUAUCUCCCCCAAGAGUCCACAUCGACGGGGAGGUUUGGCACCUCGAUGUCGGCUCAUCGCAUCCUGGGGCUGUAGUCGGUCCCAAGGGUUGGGCUGUUCGCCCAUUAAAGCGGUACGCGAGCUGGGUUCAGAACGUCGUGAGACAGUUCGGUCCCUAUCCGUCGCGGGCGCAGGAAAUUUGAGAGGAGCUGUCCUUAGUACGAGAGGACCGGGAUGGACGCACCGCUGGUGUACCAGUUGUUCUGCCAAGGGCAUCGCUGGGUAGCUAUGUGCGGACGGGAUAAGUGCUGAAAGCAUCUAAGCAUGAAGCCCCCCUCAAGAUGAGAUUUCCCAUUCCGCAAGGAAGUAAGAUCCCUGAAAGAUGAUCAGGUUGAUAGGUCUGAGGUGGAAGUGUGGCGACACAUGGAGCUGACAGAUACUAAUCGAUCGAGGACUUAACCAA
rnacentral:rRNA from 1 species